CCAGACUCUACUUAUAUUUGUUCUCUCUUAACGAAAUUUAAAUUUCCAUCCCUUCCUACUAUUGGAUGUACAAAUAUAACUAACAAGAAUGUGUCCCAAGUACACGGAUGCCCCAUCCGCACUAUCAUUUUCUAUGUUCAGUGGACCGUGAAAAUGGGAUAAAAUGUCUAAUUUGGCAUUAAAAUUAGAAAGAUCAUAUCAUAGGGAACAUGUUUACUAAGUUUCAAGUUGAUUGGACUUCAACUUCAUCAAAAACUACCUCGACAAAAACUUUAACCUGAAGCGGGAUGAACGGACGAACGAACGAACAGACGAACGUACGCACAGACUAGAAAACAUAAUGCCCAUAAAUGGGGCAUAAAAACCAGAGUUUCACUAAGUAAAUAUGUAGAAGAUAUAUCUAACAAAAAAAAAAAAUAUUGUUUAAUUGACAAAUUUUUGUUUUGAUAUUGAUUUAUCUAUUCUUCUUGCAAUUCAC
rnacentral:lncRNA from 1 species